GUUUUUAUGAAGAGUCAAUGAUGAUAGAGGUCUUGGAGACACCGAGGGAGCAGAGAUUCAUGUCUAUUAUGGAUGAAAACUAGAAACGAAGUUAUGAUGGUGAAGUUCAAACAGUUUCUAUGAGUGAUCUUUGAUUGAAAUCUGCGUUUUUAGAAGGAGAAAGCUCUUUAAGACUAUGGAUCAGCUGCUGUAACAGAAGGAAAAUGAUCUUGAAAGUCAUGGCCUCGAGCAGGAGAAGCUUCACUUUGAGAUGUACUGUUUCUGUUGGGGUUAGCUAUGUCUGCAUAUAUAGAGCUUAACUGAGCAUGAAUGAGUUCAAUUCCAUUAAUGGAAUGGAGAAAAGCUCUCAAAUAGAUGAGUGUCUGAACCAAUUGGAAAGAAAUUUCAUGUGAGAAGAUGAAUCUCUACUAUAUUACAUACUUUACAUAUUACAACAGAAGAA